UACGUAGGUGACCAGCGUUGUCCGGAUUUACUGGGCGUAAAGAGCGCGCAGGCGGUCGAUCAAGUCGAGUGUGAAAGCCCCCGGCUCAACUGGGGAGGGUCAUUCGAAACUGGUCGACUCGAAGGCAGGAGAGGGUAGUGGAAUUCCCGGUGUAGUGGUGAAAUGCGUAGAUAUCGGGAGGAACACCAGUGGCGAAGGCGACUACCUGGCCUGUUCUUGACGCUGAGGCGCGAAAGCUAGGGGAGCAAACGGG
rnacentral:rRNA from 1 species